AUUGAACGCUGGCGGCAUGCCUUACACAUGCAAGUCGAACGGCAGCACGGGGCAACCUGGUGGCGAGUGGCGAACGGGUGAGUAAUGCAUCGGAACGUACCUUUCAGUGGGGGAUAACGUAGCGAAAGUUACGCUAAUACCGCAUAUUCUGUGAGCAGGAGAGCAGGGGAUCGCAAGACCUUGCGCUGAUUGAGCGGCCGAUGUCAGAUUAGCUAGUUGGUGAGGUAAAGGCUCACCAAGGCGACGAUCUGUAGCGGGUCUGAGAGGAUGAUCCGCCAAACUGGAACUGGGACACGGUCCAGACUCCUACGGGAGGCAGCAGUGGGGAAUUUUGGACAAUGGGGGCAACCCUGAUCCAGCCAUGCCGCGUGAGUGAAGAAGGCCGUCGGGUUGUAAAGCUCUUUCGGCCGGGAAGAAAUCGCACGGGCUAAUACCCUGUGUGGAUGACGGUACCGGAAUAAGAAGCACCGGCUAACUACGUGCCAGCAGCCGCCGCGGUAA
rnacentral:rRNA from 1 species